UACGUAGGGUGCGAGCGUUAAUCGGAAUUACUGGGCGUAAAGCGUGCGCAGGCGGUUCUAUAAGACAGAUGUGAAAUCCCCGGGCUCAACCUGGGAAUGGCAUUUGUGACUGUAGAGCUAGAGUACGGUAGAGGGGGAUGGAAUUCCGCGUGGAGCAGUGAAAUGCGUAGAUAGGCGGAGGAACACCGAUGGCGAAGGCAAUCCCCUGGAACUGUACUUACGCUCAUGCACGCAAGCGUGGUAAGCAAACAGUAUUAGAUACCCCUGUAGUCC
rnacentral:rRNA from 1 species